ensembl:lncRNA novel transcript
AAAACAAAAACCACCAAAAAAAAACUGCCAAAGUAUAGGUCAUAGAAGAGCAGACUUACUUGGUGUUUGCAAGAAAGACAAAGAGAUUUAGAGUUUCCAUCAAGUUUGUUGUGAGUUACUAGGAGGUAGUGCCAGAGAAGCAACAUGGCAUUAGGCUGCAUGGGUAGAAGUAUAGUACUGAGAACACGGGAGAGCAUCGGUUUUGUUGUACUUGGGACUAAACAUUCUGAGGGUCCUGGACGUUUUAUGAGAGGCUUUGGUAAACUGAAGAGUGAUGUAGGUACAGAUGCACAGAUGUAGAACACCCCUGCGCCAGCCCAGCAUCAAUACUUUUUUUAAAAAGUGCCCUGUAUUUUCCUCAUGCCCUGGAGAUAAUGGAGCCGUCUUUUACUCACUGCCCACUUCUCAUCUCUGUCUGCUCCUGCUUCCUCUUGUUGGCUUCCUGUGCCUCCCUCCAACCUUCUCCUACCCCCCUGCAGUGUUUUAAACUCUCUUUUCUUCUUAAUUUCUGUUCGCCUCAACCAACCCUAAAGUGCUCUUGUACUCACAGUUAGGCUUUUAUAAUUGCUUGAUCAGUUUACCAGUCAAUUUCAGUAUUUUGUUGAGCUUUGACAAAGAUUUUUAUUCUAAUUCUAUGGAGCCCAUGUAAUAAUUGUUUUUUCAGCUUCUGCUUGUGACUUCUCUACUUCAAAAAAUGUACGUGCUUGUUUCUGCCAGUUACAUCCCAUGUUUCAUUGGAUGUGUGUACUGUGUUCACAUCGAGUUGGCCCCACCGCUGAGUGGGUUAUUGAUGAUCUCAAGAGUCCAGUAGAAAUGAAGGGUAGAAACUUAGCCACAUCCUGGUUUGUGUUUUGCCUAACAGAGGGGUUUCACUUUCCUCUUUGGUAAGAUGAAUAUGCUUGAUAAUAGAAUAGCAUUAAGGUUGGCUUUUUUCUCCCUCAAAUGAUUAAACUGUAGUUUCAUAUGUAAAUGCCAGUAAAUUAGAAUCAUUCUAGUAGGGAAGAUAAAGUAAAUAAGUAAAAAUAUAGUAUGUUAGUAGGAAAUCGUGCUAGAGAGAGAGAGCUCAAGCAGGACAGGAGGGGCCUAGAGAUUGCUUGGGAUUUGAUGAAGAGACAGGACUGUUUUAGAGAGGCUGCUCACGGCAGUGCCUCUGAGCAGGUAGCACUGGAGCCGAUCCUCUGCUGCGAUGAGGUGGCAAGCCAAGAACAUCAUGAGGGAGGGAAGGGCAGUCCCAGAAGAGAGAGCACAGUGCAGGUGCCAGGUGGGGACCACGGGACACUGGAACUGCCUUGGUGUGUUUAUUUCCAAAUAGUGUCUGGCAUUACACUGAGAUGAGGAGACUUUUUUGUUUUUCAUUUUUUGUUUUUUUUUCCCGGGGUAGGGGUGCAUAUUGGAUUUCUUCAGGAGAUUCAGCCUCUUGAAAAAUAUGAAAUAUAGACAAGUAUAUAUACAUAAAGAUAUAUUUGAGUAUUUUAAACUUUAUAUAGCCAAGUAUCUUAAACUCUGCACUCUUGAAUUUUUAAUCCUCGUGUAUAUCCAUUAUGAUUAUUUCUAUUAGUUCCAGUUUGAGGUUGGUGAUGAUAUUGUCAUAGAAGCUUUGUCAGGCUUCACAUUGUAGCAGCUGGUCUGGAAGGUGGGGCAUAUCCUUGUUCAAUGUGACUACUUUAGUUGCCUGUCCAAUAUGAAGUAGAAAAGCAGAUUUCUGGAUUACAGUAUUUGUCAACAUAGAAUUUGCCGAUUU